rnacentral:tRNA from 1 species
GGGGUUAUAGUGUAACCAGGCAUCAUCUGGGACUCCAGUCAUCCCAGGAUCGGGGUUCAAAUCCCUGUGACCCCA